GUCGAGAAUCUUUCACAAUGGGGGCAACCCUGAUGGAGCGACGCCGCGUGGAGGAUAAGAUCUUCGGAUUGUAAACUCCUGUCAUGCGUGAACAAGGUUGCUUGGUUAAUACCUGGGCAAAUUGAUGGUAACGCAAGAGGAAGAGACGGCUAACUCUGUGCCAGCAGCCGCGGUAAUACAGAGGUCUCAAGCGUUGUUCGGAAUCACUGGGCGUAAAGGGUGCGUAGGUGGCGUGGUAAGUCAGAUGUGAAAGCCCGGGGCUCAACCUCGGAACUGCAUCCGAUACUGCCAUGCUAGAGUACUGGAGAGGUGACUAGAAUUCUCAGUGUAGCAGUGAAAUGCGUAGAUAUCGAGAGGAAUACCAAAGGCGUAGGCAGGUCACUGGACAGUUACUGACACUGAGGCACGAAGGCCAGGGGAGCGAACGGGAUUAGAUACCCCAGUAGUCC
rnacentral:rRNA from 1 species